rnacentral:tRNA from 1 species
GGGCCGUUAGCUCAACUGGCAGAGCACCUGACUCUUAAUCAGUAGGUUGAAGGUUCGAUUCCUUCACGGCCCA